UUUUACAGCCAUGCCACCCUGAACAUUCCCAAUCUCGUCUGAUCUCAAAAGCUAAGCAGGGUCGGGCCUGCUUAGUACUUGGAUGGGAGACCACCUAGGAAGACCAGAUGCUAUAGGUG
rnacentral:rRNA from 1 species